UACGUAGGGUGCAAGCGUUUAAUCGGAAUUACUGGGCGUAAAGCGUGCGCAGGCGGUUGUGCAAGACAGAUGUGAAAUCCCCGGGCUCAACCUGGGAACUGCAUCUGUGACUGCAUUGCUGGAGUGCGGCAGAGGGGGAUGGAAUUCCGCGUGUAGCAGUGAAAUGCGUAGAUAUGCGGAGGAACACCGAUGCGAAGGCAAUCCCCUGGGCCUGCACUGACGCUCAUGCACGAAAGCGUGGGGAGCAAACAGG
rnacentral:rRNA from 1 species